UGUCCAGGGAUGGGAAUCGAACCCACAGUGUUCCGCUUACCGGGCCAUGCCAUGUCCACUUGGCUACCCUCUGGAC